rnacentral:misc_RNA from 1 species
GAUGAAGAACGCAGCGAAAUGCGAUAAGUAAUGUGAAUUGCAGAAUUCAGUGAAUCAUCGAAUCUUUGAACGCACAUUGCGCCCGCCAGUAUUCUGGCGGGCAUGCCUGUUCGAGCGUCAUUUCAACCCUCAAGCCCAGCUUGGUGUUGGGGACCGGCCCAAACCCCCCCUCCCUCCCUCCGGGGUGGGUGGCGGAGCGGCCGCCCCCGAAAUGAAUUGGCGGUCUCGCCGCAGCCUCCUCUGCGUAGUAGCACAAAAACAACUCGCAACGGGAGCGCGGCGCGGCCACUGCCGUAAAACGCACACAACUUCUUUUAGAGUUGACCUCGGAUCAGGUAGGAAUACCCGCUGAACUUAAGCAUAUCAAUAAGCGGAGGA